rnacentral:rRNA from 1 species
UACAGAGGGGGCAAGCGUUAUUCGGAAUUAUUGGGCGUAAAGAGCGUGUAGGCGGCCAUGCAGGUCCGCUGUGAAAACUCGAGGCUCAACCUCGAGACGUCGGUGGAAACCGUUUGGCUAGAGUCCGGAAGAGGAGAGUGGAAUUCCUGGUGUAGCGGUGAAAUGCGCAGAUAUCAGGAAGAACACCCGUGGCGAAGGCGGCUCUCUGGGACGGUACUGACGCUGAGACGCGAAAGCGUGGGGAGCGAACAGG